GACGAACCGUGCGAACGUUGUUCGGAAUCACUGGGCUUAAAGGGCGCGUAGGCGGAUCAGCAAGUCCGGGGUGAAAUCCUCCGGCUUAACCGGAGAAGUGCCUUGGAUACUGCUGGUCUCGAGGGAGGUAGGGGUUAUCGGAACUUCUGGUGGAGCGGUGAAAUGCGUUGAUAUCAGAAGGAACGCCGGUGGCGAAAGCGGAUAACUGGAUCUCUUCUGACGCUGAGGCGCGAAAGCUAGGGGAGCGAACGGG
rnacentral:rRNA from 1 species